rnacentral:rRNA from 1 species
UACGUAGGGGGCAAGCGUUGUCCGGAUUUAUUGGGCGUAAAGAGCGUGUAGGCGGCUUUACAGGUCCGUUGUGAAAACUCGGAGGCUCAACCUCGAGACGCCGGUGGAAACCGUAAGGCUAGAGUCCGGAAGAGGAGAGUGGAAUUCCUGGUGUAGCGGUGAAAUGCGCAGAUAUCAGGAAGAACACCCGUGGCGGAAGGCGGCGUCUCUGGGACGGUACUGACGGCUAGGAGCGAAAGCGUGGGGAGCGAAACAGG